GACAGAGGAUGCAAGCGUUAUCCGGAAUGAUUGGGCGUAAAGCGCACGUAGGCGGCUUUGUAAGUAAGAGGUGAAAGCCCAGGAGCUCAACUCUGGAAUUGCCUUUUAGACUGCAUCGCUUGAAUCAUGGAGAGGUCAGUGGAAUUCCGAGUGUAGAGGUGAAAUUCGUAGAUAUUCGGAAGAAACACCAGUGGCGAAGGCGGCUCACUGGCCCGAUACUGACGCUGAGGCACGAAAGCGUGGGGAGCAAACAGG
rnacentral:rRNA from 1 species